ACGCGGGCGCGACAAGGUCCAAGAUCAGCACUAUAAAUAGAAAGCUUCGGCCGUUCAUUUGAAUUCGCUCACAAUCACUUUUCUCUCAAAUUUCUAUAGGGUAGUCACUAUUCUCGGGCAUAAUACCCCCCUAAUUAGCGAAGCUCUGCCUCGUUAUUAUAACCAUGAAGUCACAAAGGAAAGCCCUAUAAUAGCAAUGUAACUUAGUGUGAAGCCAAUAAAAGCCAGCUGGAGAGCACUGAAGGCUUAGAAAAGUGGCAAUAAAAGUUACCUAAUUAAAAAGGAGAAUUGUUUUCAAUAAUUGGGAUUAUUCCCUAUAAAUGUAUCAAAAUGAAAAAUCGGGUUUUGUCCCACUUAUG